GGGGGGGAAUAAAGGUUGAACACAAUGAUAAUUGUUUAAUUGUUCGUUGUUAAACAUCUUUCAAAAUGUUACUUAUGUUAAUUAUAAGUUGUCAAAAUAGUUGAUCUAUUUUCUAGUCAGUACCACUUGAAAGUUGAUCUAUUUUCUAGUCAAGAUAGUUACAAACUUAGGAGAAUAUACUUUUACAUUUGACAAAGGAACAGUCGGGUUUAACACAGAACAAAAGAUGCCNGUCAAGAUAGUUAUAAACUAGGGAGAAUAUACUUUCACAUUUGACAAAGGAACAGUCGGGUUUAACACAGAACAGAAGAUGCCUUGGUAGAAGGCUACGAUUAAAGGUUAGGAUCAUAAUGAUAGCUUUAUGAUUCGUUAAUGUAUACACUAUAGGAUACAUAUAUACUAA
rnacentral:lncRNA from 1 species